ensembl:misc_RNA Metazoa_SRP Metazoan signal recognition particle RNA
GCCGGGUGUGGUGGUGCACACCUGUAGUCCCAGCUACUCUGGAGGCUGAGGCAGGAGAAUUGCUUGAAUCCAGGAGGCAGAAGUUACAGUGAGCCGAGAUAGUGCCACUGCACUCCAACCUGGGCAACAGAGCAAGACUCUGUCUCAA